rnacentral:rRNA from 1 species
GGGGAAUCUUGGACAAUGGGGGCAACCCUGAUCCAGCGAUGCCGCGUGAGUGAAGAAGGCCUUUGGGUUGUAAAGCUCUUUCACCUGUGACGAUAAUGACGGUAACAGGAGAAGAAGCCCCGGCUAACUCCGUGCCAGCAGCCGCGGUAAGACGGAGGGGGCUAGCGUUGUUCGGAAUGACUGGGCGUAAAGGGCGCGUAGGCGGUCUGUCAAGUCAGGCGUGAAAUCCUUGGGCUUAACCUGAGAAUUGCGUUUGAUACUGAUAGACUAGAGGACGAGAGAGGAAAGUGGAAUUCCGAGUGUAGAGGUGAAAUUCGUAGAUAUUCGGAGGAACACCAGAGGCGAAGGCGGCUUUCUGGCUCGUACCUGACGCUGAGGCGCGAAAGCGUGGGGAGCAAAC